rnacentral:tRNA from 2 species
CGGGGCGUAGCGCAGUCUGGUAGCGCACCUGCAUGGGGUGCAGGGGGUCGCAGGUUCAAAUCCUGCCGUCCCGACCA